AGUGAACGCUGGCGGUAGGCCUAACACAUGCAAGUCGAACGGCAGCACAGUAAGAGCUUGCUCUUACGGGUGGCGAGUGGCGGGCGGGUGAGGAAUACAUCGGAAUCUACUUUUUCGUGGGGGAUAACGUAGGGAAACUUACGCUAAUACCGCAUACGACCUACGGGUGAAAGCAGGGGAUCUUCGGACCUUGCGCGAUUGAAUUAGCCGAUGUCGGAUUAGCUAGUUGGCGGGGUAAAGGCCCACCAAGGCGACGAUCCGUAGCUGGUCUGAGAGGAUGAUCAGCCACACUGGAACUGAGACACGGUCCAGACUCCUACGGGAGGCAGCAGUGGGGAAUAUUGGACAAUGGGCGCAAGCCUGAUCCAGCCAUACCGCGUGGGUGAAGAAGGCCUUCGGGUUGUAAAGCCCUUUUGUUGGGAAAGAAAAGCAGCAGGUUAAUACCCCGCUGUUCUGACGGUACCCAAAGAAUAAGCACCGGCUAACUUCGUG
rnacentral:rRNA from 1 species